rnacentral:rRNA from 1 species
AUUGAACGCUGGCGGCAGGCCUAACACAUGCAAGUCGAACGAGUGGUGGACGGGUGUGAAAUGUCGGGGAAAUGGCCCUACGGAGGGGGAUAAUUACUGGAAACGGUAGUUAAUACUGCAUACCUUCGGCUGCUCCCAGAGGUGACUAGCUAGUAGGUGGGGUCACGGCUCACCUAGGCGACGAUCCCUCGUUGGUCUGAGAGGAUGAACAGCCACAUUGGAACUGAGACACGGUCCAGACUAGUACGGGAGGCAGCAGUGGGGAAGAUUGCACAAUGGGCGCAAGCCUGAUGCAGCCAUGCCGCGGGUGUGAAGAAGGCCUUCGGAUUGUAAAGUGCUGUCAGAGGGGAGGCGUUACCCGCGGAGAAAGCACCGGCUAACUCCGUGCCAGCAGCCGCGGUAAUAC